AACGAACGCUGGCGGCAGGCCUAACACAUGCAAGUCGAGCGGACCCUUCGGGGUUAGCGGCGGACGGGUGAGUAACGCGUGGGAAUAUGCCCUUCUCUACGGAAUAGUCCUGGGAAACUGGGGGUAAUACCGUAUACGCCCUUUGGGGGAAAGAUUUAUCGGGGAAGGAUUAGCCCGCGUUGGAUUAGGUAGUUGGUGGGGUAAUGGCCUACCAAGCCGACGAUCCAUAGCUGGUUUGAGAGGAUGAUCAGCCACACUGGGACUGAGACACGGCCCAGACUCCUACGGGAGGAAGCAGUGGGGAAUCUUAGACAAUGGGGGCAACCCUGAUCGAGCCAUGCCGCGUGAGUGAUGAAGGCCUUAGGGUUGUAAAGCUCUUUCAGCUGGGAAGAUAAGGACGGUACCAGCAGAAGAAGCCCCGGCUAACUCCGUG
rnacentral:rRNA from 1 species